rnacentral:lncRNA from 1 species
GAUGAUGGUGCUUUUGGUCCGACUGGUUUGACGACCAUUUUGGUGACGGUUCGGUUUUGGGUUCGGAUUAACUCGGGUUUCGGUUCGGUUCGAGGGUAGUUCGGUCAAACCUGGUCAACACAGUGAGCUGACUUGGUCAACUCAACCGGUCAACUCAGUUGACCCGGUCAACUCAGCCACCUUCUUUUUCGGCGUUUCGACAUGAAGAUUCGGAAUACUAUAGUUGCACGCUAGCGAUUCACGUUCUUGGAACGGCACUACGGAAACACGCUAGGCUAGCUU